CCCUUAGAUGUUCUGGGCCGCACGCGUGCUACACUGAACGGUUCAAUGGGUAAGGUAGUGCGAAAGCAUGACCUAAUCUCGAAAUCCGUUCGUGCUGGGGAUAGAAGCUUGCAAUUAUCCUUCUUGAACGAGGAAUACCUUGUAAGCGUGAGUCAUCAUCUCACGCUGAAUACGUCCCUGCCCAUUGUACACACCGCCCGUCGCUCCUACCGAUUGAGUGUUCCGGUGAGGCUUUGGGAGAAUGGCCUCAACAUGAGUUUAUCGUGUUUUGCCGUUUGAACUUAGUCAAACCUUAUCACUUAGAGGAAGGAGAAGUCGUAACA
rnacentral:rRNA from 1 species